rnacentral:rRNA from 1 species
UCUGGCGGCAGUAGCGCGGUGGUCCCACCUGCCCCCAUGCCGAACUCAGAAGUGAAACGCCGUAGCGCCGAUGGUAGUGUGGGGUCUCCCCAUGCGAGAGUAGGGAACUGCCAGAC